AAUGAAUUUAUAUUAGACAUCUUUGAACUCUUAGUACAAAUAAGUUUCUCUCUGGCCUGUUAAUUUGAUUCUACCUACAACUUCGUUCGCCAGAAGGGAAGGGUGGCCUAUUGUGUAUCACGUGACCUCCAGAAGGCCUCCCUUUCCCACUCACCAAGGCCUUUCCUUUCUCGGUAGUGAUUCGGGCGCUGCGAGAUGACGCCAACAUAUUCGUGCCACCUGGUUUCACCGCUCAGCUUAGUUCUUGGGUGGAAAGUGAAACAGCAAAUAAGACAAUCAAUUGAGAUAAGGAUUGGGAAGGAGUUGUUGGAGGUUUGAGGAGAGAGAAGAUAUGGAAUAACCAUUUAGGAUGGCAUUCAACCAACUGUGGCCUGUAGGCCAAAUGUGGCUUGUCAUCUCUCUUGAAAAUAAAGUUUUGGGAACACAGGCGUGCCUCCUUGUUAAUAUAUUGUCUAUGGCUGCUCUUGCACUACAGUUUCAAAGAAAAGAAGCCCGAGGGUCAGCAGAUGUUGAAGGAGGUAUAAUCAAGAAAGCAAACCAAGGCCUUGGAGAGAUGAAGGGGCUUCCUUAAGGUCAUACAAACCUUUCAGCCAAGUUGCCUAAGAACAACAGUUGAUGAGAACUGCACGUCUUCAAACACUGUCUACUGCAGGAUGGAAACAGGAACCUCUGGGAAUAUCACCUCCUCCUUGUGAAACAGCUCCUGUCAUAGCAAAGGUCCUGGAAGUCGAGCCACCUGUUCCUUUAUCUGCUAUACCUUACAGCAGCCCAGCAAGCUUCCUAACUUGGAUCCUGAAGUCCUGUUGUCCCUGUUCCCACACAACUACCUCUUCCCGAUUUUCUGUGAAGAUAGCUGGGGAUCAGACUUGAGCUGCUGAGUACUGAUUGUUGGUCAGCCACUCUUCUUUGUACUGGAGAUACAACGGAGGACAAAAUUGGCAAAAAAACCCUGAUCUCAUAGAGCUUUUUGUAGAGGGAGGAGAUAGGCAAUGAAAAUAGCAAAUAUGAACUGAAUGGAGACUGAGAAAGCCCAGAAGCCCAAUUUCACACAGCUAGUGAGUACAAAUGUCCAGAAUAGAAUUUAGAGUUGCUUGACCCCAGUUUGUGAUCUUGACCAUUUUAUUAUGCUAUUUUUUCUUUAGAAUCCUGCUAGCUACUCUGUAAUAUGACUUAUUUAAUCUUAUUAAUACAUCCUAGUGAAUAUACAAUCUCUAGCACUAGUAACAAUAUAAUAUUUUUUGUUUGUUUACAUCUAGAUGUUGAGAUCUGAAGGCAGCAGAUAGUUUUUGUAUCUUUGAAUUCUCAUGUUCUAUAACCUAGAGAAAAGAAUACUGCAUGAAUAAGUGAGUUAGUGAACUGAUGAAUGAAUCUAACAACAGCCAGUAGAGAUUAGUGGCUUGACUCAAAGGGGUCACAUUGUCUAUAGAGAAUUUUUAAAAACUAAACUACUGAGUGAUGAUCUGCUUUAUGUUAUCAGCCUCCACUGGCAAUUCUAAACAAUGUCAGUAACAAAAUAAUCCUAUCCACCUGGGUGGAUCACUCUCACUGUGCCACCUCCCCCUCCAAGCAAUUGAUCUCAAAUCAGGGUACUGGAUUUUUCAGUGAAUAUUUGCUGGCAACUAUUUGGGGAUUAUCUUGUCUCUCAAGUAAUCAGAUGCCUCUUGGCUUCCCUUGACUUUCUUGUGCACCACUUUCUAUCCCAUGCAGGUUUGAGGCUGUUGGUGGUUUGUCCCCAUACAUUUGGAUAUUAGCCAUCUAAUUUUGUUGUAAAUGUAGUCAAUGGGUUUUAGUUUUGCUCUUCCUUCCAUUUUUGGGCAGGUUUCCUGGAAGACCUAAAAACUGUACUGUUUCUACUUUUGUCAUUUUCCCAGAAUCCCCCUGGGUAUUUUAAUUUUUAAUCUUUGUCAGUAUGACAUGAGAAUGGUAGCUUACUGUUUUUAACUUUUCAUUACUUGAUUUUUAGUAAGCCUGAUAAUUAUUUUCAUAUGUAUUUAUUUAUUAUUGGCCUUUUUUUUUGUAGUUUGCCUAUUCAUAGUUUUGCCCCCCCCCCUUUUUUUUUACUGGAGUCUGCCUUUUUCUUAAUGAUAUGUAAGAACUCUUCUUAAAAUGUCAAUCUUAAUUCUUUGUCUAUCACAACUUAUGGUAACAACAACAACAACAACAGUAAUAAUAAUUUGUAAUGGUGUGGCACUUGUCAUCUAAAUUUAUUUUGAAAUAAUAUAGUUUUGAACUUUAGCUGAAUCAAUGUCUCAGUAUUUUUUCUUUGUGGUUUUUGGUUAUAUUUAGAGAGACCUGCCUACUGGUUGUUGAAGAAUUUAAUAAGUUUUACUGAUGAAAAAUAUUUAACUAAUGUCACUACAGGGCAAAGAACAAUGAAGUCUUGGAAACAGCCUAUUGUCUUAAUAUGAAAUGAUACCAAAGUGUUGUUCCCAUUCAUAGAUGAUCUCUACAUGCUCUAGUGUAUUAAAUAAAUAAUAACUAAGGUUUAUUCAGUGCCUUAUAAUUUAAAGACUUCUUUCACUUACAAAAUUUGGGCCUUACAAUAGAAAAAUAACUGCCUGAAGUCAGCAGCAAUGAUUUCUUUCCAAGUGAAUUCUGACUAAUUCUAAAUCUUUCUUGUUGUUAAAAGAUCUGAAGGUCAGUAUUAGCAACUAUAGUAAAAAAAAAAAAAUCAUGAGCAAACUAGUUAGCAGACAUUUGCCAGGAAAUGGAUUGUUUGCAGAUUAUUUGGCAUGAAUCCCUGUAGAGAAGCAAAUCUGUUCCCACUUCUUUACUCUGCUUUUCCUGCCUGCUCUGUUCCACAGAAGCAAAUGUUUAGGUAUAUUUGAAUCCUCCCAACUAAGUGUUUAUACUAAACUGACCAAGAUAAGUUAUAAAGACCAGAUGAUAUUUAAAUAUUACCCCUUUUUUCUACAGUUGAUAUCUAUAUUUAAAAAAAUUACAGAAGAUUAUACUUUUUAAGGUUUUCUCUGUUUGGUAUUAAGUUAAAAGUUAAAGAAAACCAUAUAACACUUUUAUGUGAUUUGGGGAAUUAUUUCUUGAAUAGAGGGUUUUUUUUUUUUUUUUUUGGCUUGUUUUGUUUUUGUUAAAGUCCGUUUAAGUCAAAGUUAGUUCCUAUGAUGCUGCAAUUUUGGUGAGUCAGAAACAAACCAUAUUUGGACUUUCAGUUUUCCACUUUCAAUGGCUUCCUCUGUCCUUUUUUUUCAAGCUCAACAAAUGUAAAAUAUUUUAAUCAAGUGGAAACAGACAAAAAUGUGACUCAUUCUACUCGGCUGAGGAUUGGUUUGCUGAUGUCAUCCUAGUUUCUGCCGCCAAAUCAUUCUAAGGCUUAAGAUCAAUCUAGGGGAUCCUGCAUUUUAGUGUAGGAACUAAAGCAUUUUGUUCUGAACUGUCUUUAUCUCCCUUUUCCCUCUGCUUCAUGUUUCCUUUCAAAGAAAAAAAAACCUCUUGAAUAGUUUCAUACUUUUCUUCUGUGUCAUAGCACAUAUAUUUCCUUUCAUUCUCUGUGUCUCCAUUUCACUGCUUAAUAUAUAUUUCUUCUGAAGACUGUUUGCUAUGCUUUAUGUAGAAAAAAGAGCCAUAGGAUUUAUACUUAACAGCUCGAAAACUCUGCUCACUCUCUUUCUGUAGUCUCCCUUUCAGAGCAGGCAUUACCAUCUGCUUUCAUGACUUUAUCUUUGUUCUAAGAACUCUGUUCUGAGAGCUCUGAAAUUUGUAUCUUUAUGUCAACCAUUUAAAUGAUCUGACUCAAAUUCAGCUUUCAACUGACAUCACUCCUCACAUGUCCCACAGGCUCCUUUAAUUCAAAAUAUUCAAAACUGAAUUAAUUAUUCAUACCAGGUACCCAAACUUGAUAUUUAAAAAAAAUUUCCAUUAUCAUUAAUAGUUUUAUCAUCCACCCAGUCACCAAAGUAUGUCUUUGAAUUUAAUUUUUUUUCACUUCUCCCUCUCUAUGAUUCCUUGAAUUCAAGAAUUCAAUCCCUUUUUAGUUGUUAAAAGGAAAGACUUUGGAACCAGAAGACUGGGGUUUAAAUCCUGUCUCCACCAUUAGUAUCUGUGUGCCCUGGUGCCUGUUACUUAAAACCUCACAGUUUUCUUGUCUAUAAAAUGGAAAUAAGUAUAGUAUCUUAUAUCAUAGGGAUUGUGUAUAUACACAGUGCUUGGUGUAUUGUAAGUGCUCCAUAAAUGUUGACUAUUAUUUUCAUCAUCAUCUUCACUUCUCCCAGCUUUUUUGAUUUACUUUAUCUCUUAUCUAGAAUAUUAAAAUUGUUUUUUAAUUGGUCUUCUAACUUUGGUUCUUAUCACUGUAUUUUGCAACCCAUAGGGAAGUGUUUAUGUCAAUCAGGGUCCAGUAAGAACAACAGAAGCCACAUGUGGACAAUUGGAGACAUAUUGAACAAUAAGUUAUUAGAAGACAGAAAGAGACAUGAGGCUGGAGUAUUCAGAAACUAGAAAAUUAGAGGAAUGGCUUUAUGGAUGGAAACUCAGACUUGGGGGAACGGGCAGUGCCUGGAAGUUACUGGUACCUCCAUGGGGGCCUGAAAAGACUGGCUUUGGGAAGGCCACAAGAAGCCCAAGUACCAUGGCAGGGCGACUCUGACAGAAAUACGAAGCAAACAGGAAGGAGAGAGUUCACUUUCCCUUUUACGAGUCUUCUAGUGUCCCUUUCCAGUCCCCUACUGGCAGAUUCUAACAGAAACAGCUGGCAAGACAGUGAUUUGCAGUCUCAGCAUUAGCAUUCUAGAACAAAGUAUAGAUGGAUGGAUUGGAGAUGAGUAUCAAUAGCUUAAUAACCAAUACAGUAUGCUUUCUUAAACACAGAUCGUCUCUCCUCCUCAGCUUGGAAAUCCCCAGUGGGUCCUCAUUGACUGUGGGAUGAAGUUCAGACUCUUCAUACUCUGGUCACAAUCUACUUUUUUCAUCACUUUUUCUAAUCUUCCCUCUCCUCCGUUAUGACUGACUACCCCCACCCCACCUCCUAAUUUCUAGUCCCUGCUUCCCAUGCCCUUUGCUCUAUAGUCCUCAGUUCAUUCUCCUGAAACAUUUAAUACUUCCAUUGUUUUACUUCUGUUGCCUCUUCUGCUUCCUUUAUAUUUUGACAAAAUCCUGUUCAUUCUUCAAGAGUAAACUGUUCCAUCAAACUGACUUCCAGAUAAAAUUAAUGACUGAUUCCUCUGUACUCCCAUAGAUUGUCCAUUCAUUCAAAUCAAGUAUGCAUUAAUCCCUUAUUAUGUUACAGAUAUUAUGCAAAGCAUUGUGCAUACAUGGUGAACCAAAUGCCCUUGGUCUCUGCUGCAUGGAAUUUCCUGAGGAAGUGGCUUUUGAACUGGUAUUGAAAAUAAGUAGGAAAAGAAGGGUGGAUUGGAGGAGAACACUAAUGGAUUUGGUUUCAGAUAAGCUGAGUUUGACACUCCUUUAAAACAACCAAGAGGAGAAUUAAGAGAACUGUUGUAUAAAUGAGUGUAUAGCUCAAAAGUAAGAGAAAAGUAUAUUGAGACUCUCUAGCAUACACAUUCCAAUUAAGAUUUUGGAGAGAGAGGAGAGUAAAGAAAAGAAGGUGAUAGUUAAGUUUUUAAUAACUGCAACAAGUAAAGGUUGAGAGAGGGAAAAUGACACCAAAAGGAGAGAGUGAUCAGAGAAGCAGGAGUAAAAACAGAAACAGGAAAAAUUGUAAACAAAUGGAGUAGCAACAGUGUUGAAUGCUCCCAGGGUUUGAUAAGGUAACAUGUGGACUUCUGCAUGGGACUUAGUGAUCACAGGGGGACCCUCUUCAGUGGGAAGGUGGUCCUGCUGCACAGAGUAGAGCAAAGAAUGAGGAAGUGAAAGUGAAGACAGCUAAUGUAGAGAACUUGUUCAAGAAAUUUGGCCAGAAAAAGCAGUGACCCAGGGCACUUAUUUCCUUCUAUUAUACUUAUUUAUCAGCUUUUCUAAGCUGCUAGAAUGUGCGCUUCCUGUGGGCAGCUUAUUGAUCUUUGUAAUCUUAGCGCUUAGACCAGAAACUGGCACCUACUGGAAACUUGAAAAAAAAAAGUUGUAUGACUGUUGAAGGUCAGUAAAGCAGAUUCAUUGAAACUGUAAAAUAACUGCAUGUCUCAGUCUGUUUGGGCUACUAUUACAGAAUACCACAAAUUUGGUGGUUAUAAACAACAGACCUUUAUUUCUCACAGCUUUGGAAGAUGGAAGUCCAAGUUCAGGGUGCUAGCAUGGUCAGGUUCUGGGGAAAGCCCUCCUCUGCAUUGCAGACUUCUCAUUGUAUCCUCACAUGAUGGAAGGGACUAAGGAUCU